UUUUAUUUAAUUUGGUAGUGGAGUAAUGCCACGCUAAGACGUAAGUCAUCGGUUCGAAUCCGAUAAAG
rnacentral:tRNA from 2 species